rnacentral:lncRNA from 1 species
UCUCUCUCUCUCCCUCUCUGUGUGUGUGUGCUUAGAGUUAGAAUUUUGGACAUAGAUUUGAUUCUUGUUGGAAUUAUAGUCAGUUUGCGAUCUUCUGUGAGGCAUUCAACCUCUAUGUAAUUAGUGCAUCUUUAUCGCUUUUGAGCAGAUCGAGGACAAUAAUUUUAUUAAUUGAAAUAAGAAAAUGCCAUUUUUUGGAUGCAUAGCCUAUUGUUUGUAUUUAAUUACAUUGAGUUGUGCUUGCAUACAUGCAUUUAUCUACUAAUGCUGGAUUCUGGGGACUGACCUUAUGACAAUUUUAGUGACUUUAAUUUCGAUGAUCACCUCAAACCUAGAAAUCAGAAAAAAGCUUUCUUCUUUUGUGUUCAGGAAAGGCAUGGUUGAGCUGCAUUGUGGAUUCAUGUAUAUUCUAGUAAUGCUUAGUUAUUGCUUCUAGUGGCAAUUUUUGUUGUCUUUGUUCUUAAAUUUGGAUAUACCUUUAAGACUAGGCGAAUACUUCAGGAGUCUUUGAGUCUAUAGGAUCAAAGACUUUGAAAGUAUAAUAUCACUAUUAAAAGAUCAUAUACAUGAUAAGAAUCUAUGUUGAAAGAAAUAGCUAUCUGCUACAGGCAAAACUUAUUCCCUAAGCAGUGUUC